rnacentral:rRNA from 1 species
UACGGAGGGUGCAAGCGUUAUCCGGAUUUACUGGGUUUAAAGGGUGCGUAGGUGGGUUGGUAAGUCAGUGGUGAAAUCUUCGAGCUUAACUCGGAAACUGCCAUUGAUACUAUUAAUCUUGAAUACUUUGGAGGUAAGCGGAAUAUGUCAUGUAGCGGUGAAAUGCUUAGAUAUGACAUAGAACACCAAUUGCGAAGGCAGCUUGCUACACAGUUAUUGACACUGAGGCACGAAAGCGUGGGGAUCAAACAGG